rnacentral:rRNA from 1 species
GACGAACGCUGGCGGCGUGCUUAACACAUGCAAGUCGAACGAGACGAAUUAGAAGCUUGCUUUUGACGAGUCGAGUGGCAAACGGGUGAGUAACGCGUAGACAACCUGCCGCAAAGAUGGGGACAACAGUCCGAAAGGACUGCUAAUACCGAAUGUUGUGUCACAUUCGCAUGAAUGAGACAUUAAAGAUGGCCUCUACUUGUAAGCUAUCGCUUUGCGAUGGGUCUGCGUCUGAUUAGCUAGUUGGUGGGGCAACGGCCUACCAAGGCGACGAUCAGUAGCCGGUCUGAGAGGAUGAACGGCCACAUUGGAACUGAGACACGGUCCAG